AUGAUGGCAGAGAGGUCACACCCGUUCCCAUACCGAACACGGAAGUUAAGCUCUCUAGCGCCGAUGGUAGUUGGGACCUUGUCCCUGUGAGAGUAGGACGUCGCCGAGC
rnacentral:rRNA from 1 species